rnacentral:rRNA from 1 species
GACGAACGCUGGCGGCGUGCUUAACACAUGCAAGUCGAGCGGUAAGGCCCUUUCGGGGGUACACGAGCGGCGAACGGGUGAGUAACACGUGGGUGACCCUGCCCUCAGCUCUGGGAUAAGCCCGGGAAACUGGGUCUAAUACCGGAUAGUGACUUCAUGACGCAUGUUGUGGAGUGGAAAGCCUUGUGCGGCUGAGGAUGGGCCCGCGGCCUAUCAGCUUGUUGGUGGGGU